GCCCGUGGGGUAUAAUUUGUUGUUUGAAAGUCCCUGAGCUAAGUCUUGCCCCUAAGGUAAGAGUUAUAAAAUAUCUCAUAAAUCAAAAUACAAUGUGGUAGUGUCAACUCUUGCCCAUGAAACAUAACUUAUUGUUUGAAAGUCAUAAGUCUUGCCUCUACAAUGUAGUAGUGUCAACUCUUGCCCAUGAAACGUAGCUUAUUAUUCGAAAGUCAUAGGUCUUACCUUUAUAAUGUUAUAAUGUCAACUCUUGCUCAUGAGAUGUAACUUGAAUGGAAGUAAUCGAAGAAAAGAACAAAAAUAAUAAAAAUUGCGAAAAAAGAAGAAAAUGAAGAAAAAUAUUAAAAAAAUAAAAAUCAAAGAAAAUGUAGAAGUUGAGAGAGAAUAGGAAAAAAUAAAGGUUGAUAAAAAAAGAUUAAAUAAAAAUAAAGGUUGAGGAAAAUUUAAAAAGAAAAAAGAAAAAAAAAUUGUUAUAAAAGUAGACGUUGAAAGGUGUAAAUAAGAAAAAGUAAGGGUUGAGAAAACUAAAAAGAAUAAAAAAAAGGA
rnacentral:lncRNA from 1 species